CCCAAGCCUGAGCUCUUUCCACUAAGCCAUGCUGCUUCUCCAUUAUAAGAGUAGCCGCAUGGCCUAGCGGAAAGAGCAUGGGCCAGGGG
rnacentral:pre_miRNA from 1 species